rnacentral:rRNA from 1 species
CUGAGAGGGCGCACGGACACACUGGAACUGAAACACGGUCCAGACUCCUACGGGAGGCAGCAGUGGGGAAUUUUGCGCAAUGGGGGAAACCCUGACGCAGCAACGCCGCGUGGAGGAUGAAGUACUUCGGUACGUAAACUCCUUUCGAUCGGGACGAUAAUGACGGUACCGGAAGAAGAAGCCCCGGCUAACUUCGUGCCAGCAGCCGCGGUAAUACGAGGGGGGCAAGCGUUGUUCGGAAUUAUUGGGCGUAAAGGGUGCGUAGGCGGUUUGGUAAGUCUCUUGUGAAAUCUAUGGGCUCAACUCAUAGACUGCAAGGGAAACUGCCGGGCUUGAGUGUGGGAGAGGUGAGUGGAAUUUCCGGUGUAGCGGUGAAAUGCGUAGAUAUCGGAAGGAACACCUGUGGCGAAAGCGGCUCACUGGACCACAACUGACGCUGAUGCACGAAAGCUAGGGGAGCAAACAGGAUUAGAUACCCUGGUAGUCCUAGCCCUAAACGAUGACUGCUUGGUGUGACGGGUACCCAAUCCCGCCGUGCCGUAGCUAACGCGUUAAGCAGUCCGCCUGGGGAGUACGGUCGCAAGGCUGAAACUCAAAGGAAUGACG